rnacentral:rRNA from 1 species
AUUGAACGCUGGCGGCAGGCCUAACACAUGCAAGUCGAACGGUAACAGGAUACGGCUUGCUGUUUCCCUGACGCGUGGCGGAGGGGUGUGUAAUAUCCGGCAAACUGUCUUAUUGAGGGGGAUAACUACUGGAAAAGCUAGCUAUAACCGCAUAACGUCCCAACAGCAAAGAGGAGGACCUUCUGGCCUCUUGCCAUCUGAUGUGCCCAGAUGGGAUUAGCUAGUAGGUGGGGUAACGGCUCACCCAGGCGACGAUCCGUAGCUGGUCUGAGAGGAUGAGCAGCCACACUGGAACUGAGACACGGUCCAGACUCCUACGGGAGGCAGCAGUGGGGAAUAUUGGACAAUGGGCGCAAGCCUGAUGCAGCCAUGCCGCGUGUAUGAAGAAGGCCUUCGGGUUGUAAAGUACUUUUGGCGGGGAGGAAAGGAGGAAAGUUAAUACCUCUCCUCAUUGACGUUACCCGCAGAAGAAGCACCGGCUAACUCCGUG